rnacentral:rRNA from 1 species
UACGGAAGGGGCAAGCGUUAUCCGGAAUUAUUGGGCGUAAAGAGCUCGUAGGCGGUUUGUCGCGUCUGCUGUGAAAACUGGAGGCUCAACCUCCAGCCUGCAGUGGGUACGGGCAGACUAGAGUGCGGUAGGGGAGAUUGGAAUUCCUGGUGUAGCGGUGGAAUGCGCAGAUAUCAGGAGGAACACCGAUGGCGAAGGCAGAUCUCUGGGCCGUAACUGACGCUGAGGAGCGGAAAGCAUGGGGAGCGAACAGG